CAGUAAAAUGGAGUGACGAAACAUUUAUCGAACGAUUAAGGGUGACGAUUCCAAUUCGAAGUAAAAAUUCCAAUAUUUCUAAAAAAUGGUCUGUCCUGCAUAUGAAGAAUGCAGUCGCCCAUUACUUUGCCUCAUAGCGGGUCUAGCCGCACCCACAAUAAACUUCAUAAAAAGUCCUUAAUUUAAAGCGUAUAAAAAAAUAUAAAAUUUAUUAAUAUGGCGUCAUUACAAUAAAUUUUUCAACAAUACUUUCGAGUUGAAUUGUCGAGUUGCUAUUGUUGAGUGUAAUGUUUCGCUGCGCCGAAAAAGUUGUUUCGCGAAUUUCGAGAAAUAAAAUGAAGAAGAAAAGUAGGAGAGAAGAUUCUGAACCGAGUGUUCAGGAAAAUAAAGAUUGCUCAUUUCAGAAUGGCAAAGAUUCGCCUGCAACAAAAUGUGACUUCUCGAAUCUAGACGAGUCGCAGUUGCAAGCAAAUAAGCAGAAGAAAGGAAAGUUUAUGGGAUUUUUAACUAAUUUAUUCCAUAAAUUUUUGUUGUGUUGUUGCAUUUCAGGCGAGAUUUCUGGUUCCGAAACUUACGAACCGGAAAAGAAACUCGCAGAUUCAAAGCAAGAACACGACCGUUUCGAUAAAGCCAAAUAUUAUAUUGGCAAGUACAAAAUUACUAAAGAAAUUGGACGUGGAAGUUUUGGGACUAUUUAUUUGGCUAAGACCAAAUAUUCUAGAAAGAAAAAGGCUUUAAAAGUCGUAAAGAAGAAAGUCUCUUCUUCUAAUCAGUUUGGUGAAAUCCGGAGAGAAACAAUCGUUUGGAAUUGCGUGUCCGCCCAUCCAAACAUUGUCAGAUUGAUUCGAUUCCUGCAAACUGACACAGCCUAUUGCUUUGUCUCGGAUUUUGUCCAGGGAGAAACUUUGACCGAAUUUGUACAAAAGAAUGGCCCUAUACCGGAGAGAAAAGCAAAAGUGUUUGCCGCUCAAGUGGCCUCUGCUAUUAUGUAUAUUCAUAGUAAUGGAAUAAUACACCGAGACAUUAGUUCAAACAACGUUAUGUUAGAUGUGUACAAAGGUGCACAAGUAAUUGAUUUCGGUCUAUCCACAUACGAACAAAAUCCAAGAGAUUAUUGUGGAACUUUAUCAUUUAUGUGUCCGGAAAUUCUCCAGAGGAAGCCUUACGAUUCGUACUGUGACUGGUGGGCUUUCGCCAUCGUGUUAUUUCAAGCGUUGGUUGGAAGAACUCCUUUAGAGAUUUAUGUGAAAGAAGCUUUCGAUAUUGAUAACGUGUAUUUAUUGCCCCGGUACGACCGGAUAAGAGCUGCUCUAAAUGUGAAGGUGUCGUAUCCUCCUGGGUUAUCGGAUGAUGCCAGACAUUUUAUUUAUGACCUAUUGCAAAAGGACCCGUGCAGACGUCCUCUAGAAGUAAAUAUAAGAGAACACGAGUAUUUUCAUAAAGUGCCUUGGCCCAAAAUUACUUAGGGUUUUCGGCAGAAUAAACUGAAAAUGAAGUUCGGAUCUUUCUUGAAAUCAAUGUGGAAGCCGGUUAAGAGAUCUUUUGUUUAAUGCUUCUCACUGAAAUUGACCUUUCAUCGAUUUUGACUGCCCGGAUUUGAUCUUUACCGAUUUUGGCUCACAAAAAUGUGACCUUUUAUCGAUUUUGACUGUUCAGGAUUUGACCUUAACCAAUUUUGACUCUCCAAAUUUUGACCUAUAAACGAUUUUGACUACGUAAUUUCAAAUAUACCACAUUAUCGAACUUGACUACCGAAUUGUGUCUAUCUACUAAAUUUGAUUCCCGAAUCGUUUUCAUUCUCGAAUUUGACGCAUCCUGGUUCUGUCCAUUACUUAUUGUGUCACUUAUUUCGUGUCCAUUUUUAAUCAACGUCUUCUUUCGAUCUGUGUCAAUUGCGAACGCAAAUUUGCUCUGAAUUACGUCAAAAUUAAAACAUCUAGAAUUUAAUCUUCGGUAUCUUCAAUUCUGGAACUUUAUCUAAAUACAGUACAUUAAAUGUCUAAUAAACUCAAGAAACGUUAAUACAGUAAAGAAAAGACGCGUGGAAGCAAUAU
rnacentral:misc_RNA from 1 species